rnacentral:lncRNA from 10 species
AGACCAAAGGCUGGUUCCUCCUUCCCAAACUUCCUGGUAGGGAAGUUUUAUCCCAUGUGAGAGCUCAUGACACCAGGUGGCAUCAACAUGUUUAUUGAACACCUACUUUGCAUAUGGUAUUACAAGGGGACAGAGGUGUGGAAGAAAAAUUGAACACCACCCUCAAAGAGCUCACCUUCUAGCUGGGGAGACAGCUUAUGCACACAUGCAGGCAUCGGAUGGCUCACGGACGGCACCAUAUGCCUGCCAUCAUCAUUAUUGUUGGAGCUCAAGUACCCAGGACUGGGUAACAAGAAAGGCUUUCUGGAGGAGGAAAAACUUGAGCUGGGCUUCAGAAGACCAAGCGUCUCAGACUGGAAGGGGCCUUGGCGAUCGUUUAUUCCAGCAGUUUUCAAAUUUUGUAGCCUCAGGACUCUUUCUUCAAAGAAGCUCUGUGUGGAAAAACAAUAUAUAAAACAGUUUUUUAUUAUUGAGACCUACUUCCUACUCCAA